rnacentral:misc_RNA from 1 species
UGUGACUCCUGCCAGCUACCCACAAACUCAGGCUCCAAUUGUUGACAACCCUGCUCUCUGGGAAAAGCUAAGUCUUGAUUCAGCGGGACUGGAUACCUUCUUUUUUGCAUUUUACUAUCAGCAGAACACUUACCAGCAGUACUUGGCUGCGAAAGAACUGAAAAAGCAGUCAUGGAGAUUCCACAAAAAGUUUAAUACAUGGUUUCAAAGACAUCAGGAGCCUAAAGUUACAACUGAUGAUUUCGAG